rnacentral:tmRNA from 1 species
GACCUUUUCAUUUUCAACGCGAUGCCUAUAUCGGUUGUGCCGGGUUCGCCCGGCUAUGGCGAUAAAUUGCCGCGUAGAAUAGACGCAGCGGACCCGGGGGCAGUACCCGGCGGCUCCACCAAAAGCCCCGUGAAAGCGGGGCCUCUGACGGGGCCGAACCAGGAUCGACGUGUGUUGAAAGGCGCUGUUUUUGCCCGGGCUGAGUAACCCGUAAAAGGCUCAAAACCACAAGUGCUAACGAUAACGAAGCACUCGCAAUUGCGGCCUAACCCAAGACUUAACGGUCUAGGUUAGUACGACGAAAGCGCG